rnacentral:lncRNA from 1 species
CGGAGGUCGGGGUAUUAAUUGCAGCGGGACAAUGAAAAAAAAAAACGUUGUGUUUUAAGGCAGCUGCUAUGGAUUAUACACUAAAUAAAUUGCGAAAGAAACAAAAACGCAUCACAGUUUAAGUUUUAUUAGUAUUGAUUGAUUCGCAUCGAUAUGAAUGGAUGACAUGACUAACAAGUCAUAUUGACUGCAAAUAUUUGAGUUUAGCUAAAUGAGCACUAUAAUUUAACUGUUAUCAAAAGGUACAAGUAGCAAGUCAUCCAACCUUUUAGGUUCUGGAAAAUUUUGACUUUUAAGUUAAUCAACUUAAAACAAUUGAGGCAAUCGAUUUUGAGUUCUGGUGACUUAUUAGGGUUUACAGUGCAGUCAACGUAGUAUGUUGCAAUUCAUGUGGAUUUCUUUGCAGAUAUAUAAGUGGCACCCUUCACGUCUCAUCUUUAAAUCUCCGAUUCAAAAAGUCUCUCUCUGCUAUAGGUGUGAGACACGAAUUGGUGCAAUUCUAUGACCACCGAGCGAGUGGUCACAGGCACAAUUGAACCUAGAUGGCCUGAUAACGACCUCAUGAACUUGUCUCAUGACCUGAUGCGAGGUGUGGGCGACGUCGUCGUCGGCUGGUUAUUUACCUCCUCCCAGUCAUGUUCUCUCACACUCACAGUGAACUAUGGCAGAGAGGACAAUCCUAUCCCCAAGACAGUUGAGGGCGUUAGAGCUGCUGGACAUUGAGGAGGAACUUCUUAUCUUGAGGCAUCAUCAACAGAAGAGGAGACGGAGGCGGUAUGUACGGCCACUAAAUCCAAAACCAAGGACGGGCGAAUAUUCAUCUCUUGUCCAACCUAUGAGGGAUAUGGACGAAGAGACGCACAUAAAGCACCGUGCUACGUCGUCCAACUAUGACAAGCCAUCCACCUCCUCGUCACCCGAGGCCUCCCUCCAGCCAUCCAUCCCCUCACCUGAGGCCUCCCUCCAGCCAUCCACCUCCUCGUCACCCGAGGCCUCCCUCCAGCCAUCCAUCCCCUCACCAGAGGCCUUCGUCGAGGCAACCAUCCCCUCACCCCUCACCCGCAGACGGGCUGUGCUGUCCCUUGAGGGCAUGGCAUCCCAAGAUAAAUAUUAUAUAUUUGGCCAGACGAUGGCGGAGCUGGCGAGGACAGCUGUGGCAGAGAAGCGGCAUUCAGCGAUGGUCAAGACCAUGAACUUUAUGCUUUCAGUACAGGGCGUAGACGACUUGUGAACUUUGUACUUUGCACUGUUAUUUCUUAUUUGUUUUUUCACUUAUUUUGCACAUUGUUUGUUUUACUUAUUUUGCACAUUAUUUGUUCACUUAUUUUGCACCUUUUCUUUUGCACAUUACUUCUACUUUUAAUCUUUUAUUACUUAUAACUUUACUUACUUGUAUAUGAAUAAAACAGCUGUUUGUACAUUCUUUGCCCUUUGU